GAUUUUAUUUCUCACUCUACGGGUGUCAGAAAAAUAUGAAACUUGAAAUCUAGCCUCAUAAAAAUAUUUCUGAUUUAUUCUCCAAUUUUCAUAAUUUUCUGAGACUGUGCAUUUUCUACUAAUUUAUCUGUCCCGUUUCCAACAGAAAAUUCUAGAUCUUCUGUUUUCAUUCCGAUUUCAGCACAAGUCACUUUUGACUUAUGUUUUACUUCUAUAAAUCCAAUAAAAAUAGUUUCUCACACUAUUUUUAUUUAUUUUUAUUUUUAUACCAAAAUCUGGUAUGUUACAUUCUCCACCCCUUAAAAGAAUUUCGUCCGCGAAAUUCAAACCAUGCCUCAAUUCAGCUCCGCAAGCAAUUGAGGGUACCAACUCAUUCUCCCACUCCAAAGCGGCUUCACCCAAUCGUGGUUCCAAAAGCGGCUCAUACUGAAGGACAUGGGUUUAAUUCUAAACGCAUUUGCAAAGUGUGAUACAAACGUGCAUCACGGGUCUUGCAAGCCAUAGUGGCAGCGCAAGUCGGUACUCGACGACUCUACGCGCUCCAACACCACUCGCCACUCCGUACACAAAGAACUCUUCUUUGCACUAGCCUUCCCUUUUGGGAAUACAUUCCAAUUCGAUCACCGACAUUGCUUAGAAGCAAUAUCACCGGUGCAUCGCUCCGUCG
rnacentral:lncRNA from 1 species